ACCCGCACAAGCAGCGGAGCAUGUGGUUUAAUUCGAAGCAACGCGAAGAACCUUACCAGGGCUUGACAUCCCCUGACCGCGUAUGAAAGUACGUUUUCACCCUCGGGUGACAGGGAGACAGGUGGUGCAUGGUUGUCGUCAGCUCGUGUCGUGAGAUGUUGGGUUAAGUCCCGCAACGAGCGCAACCCCUACGUUUAGUUGCUAACGCGUGAAGGCGAGCACUCUAGACGAACUGCCGUUGACAAAACGGAGGAAGGUGGGGAUGACGUCAAAUCAUCAUGCCCCUUAUGUUCUGGGCUACACACGUGCUACAAUGCCCACUACAAAGCGAGGCCACCCGGCAACGGGGAGCUAAUCGCAAAAAGGUGGGCCCAGUUCGGAUUGGGGUCUGCAACCCGACCCCAUGAAGCCGGAAUCGCUAGUAAUCGCGGAUCAGCCAUGCCGCGGUGAAUACGUUCCCGGGCCUU
rnacentral:rRNA from 1 species